rnacentral:snoRNA from 1 species
CUGCUGUGAAGAAACAUUUGUGCUAAAAGUGGUGAUUGGGUCUCCACACCCGUCUGAUCUUCAGACGAGGAGAUCACAUCUGAGCAC